UUCCGGUUGAUCCUGCCGGACCCGACUGCUAUUUGGGUGAGGAUAAGCCAUGCGAGUUGAAUGGGAAACCUAAAGUUCCCAUGGCAAACUGCUCAGUAACACAUGAUCAACUUACCCUAUAGAGAAAAAUAACCUCGGGAAACUGAGGAUAAUGUUUCAUAGUUGAAUUGGCUUGGAAAAGUUUUUCGACGAAAGGGGUAAAAAAAAUGGUUUUUAUCUGCUAUAGGAUAGGAUCGUGUUCGAUUAUGGUUGUUGGUGAGGUAAUGGCUCACCAAGCCGAUAAUCGAUAGGGGCCGUGAGAGCGGGAGCCCCGAGAUGGGUACUGAGACAACGACCCAGGCCUUACGAGGCGCAGCAGGCGCGAAACCUCCGCAAUACACGAAAGUGUGACGGGGUUACCCAAAGUGUUCAAUUUUGAACUGUGGUAGGUGAGUAAUGUUCCCUACUAGAAAGGAGAGGGCAAGGCUGGUGCCAGCCGCCGCGGUAAAACCAGCUCUUCAAGUGGUCGGGAUAAUUAUUGGGCUUAAAGUGUCCGUAGCCGGUUUGGUAAGUUCCUGGUAAAAUCGGGUAGCUUAACUAUCUAUAUGCUAGGAAUACUACUAUACUAGAGGGCGGGAGAGGUCUGAGGUACUACAGGGGUAGGGGUGAAAUCUUAUAAUCCUUGUUGGACCACCAGUGGCGAAGGCGUCAGACUGGAACGCGCCUGACGGUGAGGGACGAAUGCCAGGGGAGCGAACCGGAUUAGAUACCCGGGUAGUCCUGGCCGUAAACGAUGCAUACUAGGUGAUGGCACGGCCAUGAGCCGUGUCAGUGCCGUAAGGGAAACCGUUAAGUGUGUCGCCUGGGAAGUACGGUCGCAAGGCUAAAACUUAAAGGAAUUGGCGGGGGAGCACCACAAGGGGUGAAGCCUGCGGUUCAAUUGG
rnacentral:rRNA from 1 species